rnacentral:lncRNA from 1 species
CUUAGGGGUCGUCUGUGGCCUCAAUUGGCAGUGGCAUUGACUAUUCUCUUUGUUGCAAGCAAUGUAGGUUCGGUCUCAGGAGAUGCUUAUGUUUACAGUUCUCCACCUCCACCACCGUAUCUAUACAAGUCUCCACCACCUCCUUCUCCUUCUCCACCACCUCCUUAUGAGUAUAAGUCACCACCUCCUCCAUCACCUUCUCCACCACCUCCUUAUGUGUACAAAUCCCCACCCCCACCAUCUCCAUCCCACCCCACCAUACAUGUACAAGUCCACCACACCUCCAUCUCCAUCUCCCCCUCCACCAUACAUGUACAAGUCCCCACCACCACCCUCUCCAUCCCCACCACCUCCUUAUGAGUAUAAGUCACCACCUCCUCCAUCACCUUCUCCACCACCUCCUUAUGUGUACAAGUCCCCACCCCCACCAUCUCCAUCCCCACCACCACCAUACAUGUAUAAAUCCCCACCACCACCCUCUCCAUCCCCACCACCUCCCUACAUGUACAAGUCGCCUCCACCCCCAGUACAUUCUCCUCCUCCACCAUAUUACUACAAGUCACCACCACCACCUUCUCCCCCACCACCCCCACCAUAUUAUUACAAGUCUCCACCACCACCCAAAAAAUCACCACCUCCACCAUAUUACUAUAAGUCACCACCUCCUCCCUCACCCUCACCACCACCACCAUAUUAUUAUAAAUCUCCACCACCACCUAAACAUUCACCACCACCACCAUAUUACUACAAGUCACCACCUCCUCCCUCACCAUCACCACCUCCACCAUACUACUACAAGUCACCACCUCCACCUAAACAUUCACCACCCCCACCAUACUACUACAAGUCCCCACCUCCUCCCUCACCAUCACCACCUCCACCAUACUACUACAAGUCACCACCUCCACCUAAACAUUCACCACCCCCACCAUACUACUACAAGUCUCCACCUCCACCUAAACAUUCACCACCUCCACCUUAUUACUACAAGUCACCACCACCACCCUCACCAUCUCCUCCUCCUCCAUACUACUACAAGUCUCCACCUCCUCCUUCACCGUCUCCUCCACCACCAUACUAUUAUAAAUCUCCUCCACCACCUUCUAAAUCUCCUCCAACACCAUACUACUAUAAAUCCCCACCACCACCUUCACAUCCUUUACCACCACCCUAUUAUUACAAAUCUCCAC